GGUGCGCGGGGCGCCGAGGGCCGUCCCCGUUCCCUCCGGGUCCUCCGCGCACCGCGGCUCCCGGCAGCGCGAGGGCGGCCGGCCAGAGCGGUUUCAAACUUCGAAAACUGCGCUCUGAUCGCGGGAACGUACAGACUCGUGCCGCCUCGAGUCCGAUUCUCGGAGCAGGUGUCAGGCGCCCGGCUACUGCUGUGCUGUGGGCACGGCCCGUGACGGUUCUGACGAGCAGCUGGGUAGAGCUCCGGGGGCUGCAGCCACCGAGCUCAGUAAUUUCCUUUAAAAGCAACAUAAUCAGCACAAAAUUAGACUGUUUUGUGGAAGCAGAAAUGCUUGGUAGUGGUAGGACUCUGUGCGCUUGCCUAGCAUGCCAUUGCAAGGACAAUCAGCAUGGAAAACCAGGACUUUGAGCUCUGCAUCUCUGCUUGAUCUUGACUUGCUGGUUGAUACCAGGAGCUGCUUCCCAGAUCCUCUUGAUUUGGUUCGAGAAGUUAGAAUUACCUGUAAUCAUUGGUAAACCAAAAGUCCCGAAUGGAGAACAAUGACAGGCGCCCACCGAGAAGAGCUACUGAUGACUGAGUUUAAGAUAAGCUAGUGCUGAGAGAAUACCUUCAUCAUUUCAAAAACAUCCAGCUCCCCCCUGUGCUUUGGGAUGUGAAAGAAUGACGUUGGCAGAUAGAGGCCUCAAGUUCCUCUCGGAUGCAUCUGGACCAUUUUAUUAGGGAGUCCACUGAGCCUGUGAUCAGCCUGAGUGCAGCUGAUGGUGAGCAGCGCCAAGGUGUGGUACUGAGCUGCUGAUCAAAUUGGUGUAUUUCAGAAGACCUGAAAAAAUUAGAUGAUUGAAACAUCACUCGUAAGCCACAGCUUCGCCAUGAGGACUUUAGGAAAAGCAUGGCUGCACAGAGUACCUUCACCAGCAAUCUUCCAGCCUCCGACAAAACUAUUGUUCUUGAAGACCAGAAAGAUUGUUAUUGAGCUUUCCACAAAGCUGAAAUAAUGCUGUGUGUUAAAAAAAUGUUAACAAUUUGAAGAAGUUAUAAAAAUUUAUAAGUUGACUGAAUACUUUGGAAAUUUCUGCAUAUUUUAAUAUAAAUAGAAAAUCAAAGAAAUCGUGGAAAAUGGAGGAGUUAUUUCAGAUGCAUUUGGUGCAGUGAUGAGCUCAAACUUUAUUCAAAACUAUUAUGGUAAAAUAGAACAAGAAGAUACAAAAGAGAGAAAGAAGGAGUAGAAAGUGGUGGAAGGGAAGAGCCUCUGGACUGGUUCUCCUGCUCUGCAGCACAGUUACUUGCCUUUCUCGUUGAGGCUCUUGGUCAUCCCAUCUACCACGGUCAAGAAGACUGCCACAUACAGAUACGGUGAUCAGUAUGUCUGGUCCAGUUUGAAUGCCCUGUCCUGGAGUGGGAAGCAAGUUCUGCACUGUAUGUGGAUGAAGUUAAUCAGUUUGCAGUAACAAAGUGUUGGAAGGGACUUCAAGAGCUUAUCUAUACAGAGCUGGCCAGCCUGUGCCUUGGAGGUGUGUGCAGUAUUGAGCAUUUCAGGGAUGCCUCUCACGUUUGGACAGCAUCAUAUACAAAGAUGUCUGUCCUGACCAGGGCCUCUGGGUAGUCUGGUUCCUGUCUGUGGCCCAACCAUCAUCUUGUGUGAAAAAAAAAAUAAGGUCUGGUCAAUCUCUCCUGCCUAUCAGUUCUUCCCGGACUUCUCUUCAGCUUACUGAAUUAUGUGGUACAUAUCUCACUGAUCUCAGCAGCAUGAAGACUGCAUGGUUUGUUAGAUUGGCUGCUACAGCUCUAUGUUCCAGUGUCAUUUCUGGAUCUAUUCUUAAAGGUCUCCACUCUGAACCUUCUGCAGUUAACCACUCCUGAUGCUUCACUAUCAACUUUUUGGAAGAGUUCCUUGCCUGCUGGGGAGAGGUGACAUUCAAGUGAUGAAGAAAUAGGAGUCUGCACCAUUCGUCAGCCUAGCGAGAAGGCGGCUCUAUGCUCACUUUGAAAGAGGGCAGUGCAAAAGUUACCUAGCGAUGUGAGUACUCUGGGCACGGCGGAGGAGCUUCCCACUGAAUGCGGCACAGCGGCACAGCUGCUGAGGAGAGCAUGGCAACAGCAAGAAAUGGAAUUCACUGAAGAAAGCGCUUGACAAGCCAUGUGAGAACCAGCGUGAGCAGCCAGUGGGCACAGCCCCAUCUUCUUGGGACAAGGGAAGUUACGGGAUUAAAUGAUCCUUGAUCACGAAAGCAGGUGCACCGGAGGCAAUCAGAAUGCACGUCUGCUGAAGCCCCGAAAGAAGUUAACAGCAGUCAAACUUGCUACCCAUAUGGUGGAAACAUCAGGAUUACUGAAUCCAUAGCAAACUCUCGGCUGUAUGGCUGCUACAGACCUACUGAAUCCACGUAUGGAAGGGACGAUGUUCCUGUGCAGUGCUUUGAAUACAGAAAGGUUAAAUUAUGGGAUGAGCUUUGCUUGUGUCUUUCCAAAAAAUCUGAUCCAAG
ensembl:lncRNA